AAUUCAUGCGUUUUGUUUAGAUUUUUAUUGUUGUUUAUUUGUCUUUAUUGAACGUUAAGAUUAAGGGGGAUUAGCUCUUUAUUUUAUUUUUAUAAUUUUUGUGUAUAUUUAGUUUUGUGGGUUUUAUAGUGAUUUUCAAUUUGAUUAUGUUAAAAUUUUAUUUAUUUCUUUUGUUAUUUUAUUUUAUUUAAGGUUGUUUUAUUGGAAUGUUUUCUUUAUUUUUUAUUGGAUUGUAAUUAUUGUGGGAUUAGUAAAUUUGUUUGUUGUGUUGUUUGUAUUUGUGUUUAAUUUCUUUUGAGGAAUUAGGCAAAUUUUAUGUCCGCCUGUUUAACAAAAACAUCUUUUCUUGUUAGUUUUUGAAGUAUGGCCUGCCCGCUGACUUUUAGUUGAAGGGCCGCGGUAUUUUGACCGUGCAAAGGUAGCAUAAUCAUUAGUUCUUUAAUUGUGAUCUGGAAUGAAUGGCUUGACGAGACAUGAGCUGUCUUAGUGUUGAAUGUUUUAUUGAAUUUGGUCUUUGAGUUAAAAUUCUUAGAUGUUUUUAUGGGACGAGAAGACCCUAUAGAGUUUGACAUUUGGUUUACUCAUUUGUUGGUUGUUUGUUUAUUGUUAAUGAGUGGGCUUUAUUGUUUUGUUGGGGUGAUGAGAGGAAUGGUCUAACUCCUCUUGGUUUUGGUUAUAUUGAUUUAUAUUUAUUUGAUCCAUUUAUUUUGAUUAUAA
rnacentral:rRNA from 1 species